rnacentral:rRNA from 1 species
UACGUAGGGGGCAAGCGUUAUCCGGGUUUACUGGGUGUAAAGGGAGCGUAGACGGCAGCACAAGUCUGAAGUGAAAUGCCGGGGCUUAACCCCGGAACUGCUUUGGAAACUGUGCAGCUAGAGUGCAGGAGAGGUAAGUGGAAUUCCUAGUGUAGCGGUGAAAUGCGUAGAUAUUAGGAGGAACACCAGUGGCGAAGGCGGCUUACUGGACUGUAACUGACGUUGAGGCUCGAAAGCGUGGGGAGUAAACAGG